AUGAUUUUUAUUAGUAGCUGAUAAUUUAAAUGCAAAAAAGUAAGGAAGAAGCAAUAUUAAAUACAUUUUGUUCUCCCAUUUUUUUUCCUGGAGUCUAGAAAGUAAAUUUAAAAAAAGGAAUGAUAAACACAUGUUUAUCAAGAUAAAAAACAUGUAAAUUACAUGCAAAUUUUGUGUUAUUUAAUGAUGAAGACACUCAUUUUUCUCUGACAUUCUUGUUUUUUUUCAAUCACUUGUUCUUUUGACAUCCAGCUCUUACCUGUUUUAGAGAAGUUGGUCAGAACAUGAGUUUAUAAGAAAACACGUGUGUGCACAGCGGCGUGCAGCACAGGGAGCUGGAGAAAACUCUAUUGGAAAUGAGGGACGCUAUCUGGAAUUCGUUAACCUUUCUCCACUGCUAAUUAGUGUGGAAAAGAAAAUUUAAAAACAACAUUUGUUCAGGCGGAAGACUGAGGUUCAAUUACAGCGAACAACUGGCCGGGUGCAGUCUGUUCACCAGAACACAGCAGAUGUCAGCGGGAUGAAAAAACAAAACAAUCACACACGGCUCCUGAAAAGAGGAGCCAGAGGACUGAGCUGUUUUCAUCAGCAGCAGUGGACUGCAACCAAACACCAACUGCUGUGUCAAAACACGACUCUGCUGACGCUCUGCAAGGGCUUUCAAGAUGUGAAGUGAAGCAGUUUAUGAAGCAGAGAUACACGACUGGGAUUGGAUUUGCCAUCCUUCACGCCUGGUUUGGGCCGGCCUAAUUUAUCCUCUCAAGUGACAACACUAUCAGUCACUGGUGGGAGCUAAUGGAUGUCAUUUGUUAGGCUGGGAAAAGUCAACAGAAAGCUUGAAAAAUAAACACAAACAAGAAACAAAUGAAAAAUGUUCCCAAUGUGUCAGGAGCAGCAUAAGACAUUCUAAAUGUGGGGUAAGUGGGGGUUAAUACCAUCUCACAGUUGUGUUCAGAAGUUUCCAUGGUUUUCUAGAACAUCUCAAGCCUUAGUAUAGCUAAUAUUUCAGCUACACGCUAGCUAUUUUGGCUAAUUUAGGCUUUUGAUGAACUGUGAUGCUGUAGAACCUUUGUGAUCCCCGCUGGUAUCCAGUUUUUGAUCAAAUGAUCCAAUUAAUUAGAAAAAAGUGUUUCCAUUGCAGUUUUUACAAAAUAUGUCAACUUUGACAGGCUCCAAAAAUGCACGUUUUUUCGAAAUUUUCAUAUUUCCAUGAGGAGAAUUUAUCGCAAAUCCAGUUUGUGCAUUUUAAGUCAAGGAAAACAACACACAAGCAUAAGGUUAACGAGCUCGUGACACGUGCACGCUCCU